UUGCCCCAGUAACGGCGAGUGAAGCGGCAACAGCUCAAAUUUGAAAUCUGGCCUCGGCCCCGAGUUGUAAUUUGCAGAGGAUGCUUCUGGCGAGGCACCGACCGAGUCCCCUGGAACGGGGCGCCAUAGAGGGUGAGAGCCCCGUAUGGUCGGACGCUUAGCCUGUGUGAAGCUCCUUCGACGAGUCGAGUAGUUUGGGAAUGCUGCUCAAAAUGGGAGGUAAAUUUCUUCUAAAGCUAAAUACCGGCCAGAGACCGAUAGCGCACAAGUAGAGUGAUCGAAAGAUGAAAAGCACUUUGAAAAGAGGGUUAAAUAGCACGUGAAAUUGUUGAAAGGGAAGCGCUUGUGACCAGACUUGCGCCUGGCCGAUCAUCCGGGGUUCUCCCCGGUGCACUCGGCCAGGCUCAGGCCAGCAUCGGUUCUCUCGGGGGGACAAAGGCUCCGGGAACGUAGCUCCCUCCGGGGAGUGUUAUAGCCCGGGGCGUAAUGCCCUCGAGGGGACCGAGGACCGCGCUUCGGCAAGGAUGCUGGCGUUACGGUCAUCAGCGACCCGUCUUGAAACACGGACCAAGGAGUCAAGGUUUUGCGCGAGUGUUUGGGUGUAAAACCCGCACGCGUAAUGAAAGUAAACGUAGGUGAGAGCUUCGGCGCAUCAUCGACCGGCCCAGAUGUUCUCGGAAGGGCCUGAGUAGGAGCGUUAAGCCUUGGACCCGAAAGAUGGUGAACUAUGCUUGGAUAGGGUGAAGCCAGAGGAAACUCUGGUGGAGGCUCGCAGCGGUUCUGACGUGCAAAUCGAUCGUCAAAUCUGAGCAU
rnacentral:rRNA from 1 species